AUUGAACGCUGGCGGAAUGCUUUACACAUGCAAGUCGAACGGCAGCACGGGGCAACCUGGUGGCGAGUGGCGAACGGGUGAGUAAUACAUCGGAACGUGCCCAAUCGUGGGGGAUAACGUAGCGAAAGUUACGCUAAUACCGCAUACGAUCUACGGAUGAAAGCGGGGGAUCGCAAGACCUCGCGCGAUUGGAGCGGCCGAUGUCAGAUUAGGUAGUUGGUGGGGUAAAGGCUCACCAAGCCAACGAUCUGUAGCUGGUCUGAGAGGACGACCAGCCACACUGGGACUGAGACACGGCCCAGACUCCUACGGGAGGCAGCAGUGGGGAAUUUUGGACAAUGGGCGCAAGCCUGAUCCAGCCAUUCCGCGUGAGUGAAGAAGGCCUUCGGGUUGUAAAGCUCUUUCGCAAGGGAAGAAAACUUACCCUCUAACAUAGGGUGAGGAUGACGGUACCUUGAUAAGAAGCACCGGCUAACUACGUGCCAGCAGCCGCCGUAAGAC
rnacentral:rRNA from 1 species